AAAUUGAAGAGUUUGAUCAUGGCUCAGAUUGAACGCUGGCGGCAGGCCUAACACAUGCAAGUCGAACGGUAACAGGAAGCAGCUUGCUGCUUUGCUGACGAGUGGCGGACGGGUGAGUAAUGUCUGGGAAACUGCCUGAUGGAGGGGGAUAACUACUGGAAACGGUAGCUAAUACCGCAUAACGUCGCAAGACCAAAGAGGGGGACCUUCGGGCCUCUUGCCAUCGGAUGUGCCCA
rnacentral:rRNA from 1 species